CCGGUGUCCACCCAACUCUGCUCCUCGGCUAUUCGGUCCAUGCAGUUGAUGAGGAAUUGGGAAUAGGGCGUGUAUAAAGU